UCAGGACGAACGCUGGCGGCAUGCCUAACACAUGCAAGGUCGAACGGGGGUAGCAAUACCCUAGUGGCGAACGGGUGAGUAACACAUGAGCAAUCUGCCCUUCACAGGGGGAUAACAGCGGGAAACUGCUGCUAAUACCGCAUAAGACCACAGUACCGCAUGGUACAGGGGUAAAAACGAAUCAGUGGUGAAGGAUGAGCUUAUGUCCCAUUAGCUAGUUGGUGAGAUAACAGCCCACCAAGGCGACGAUGGGUAGCCGACCUGAGAGGGUGAUCGGCCACACUGGAACUGAGACACGGUCCAGACUCCUACGGGAGGCAGCAGUGGGGAAUAUUGGGCAAUGGAGGAAACUCCUUACCCAGCAAUGCCGCGUGAGUGAAGAAGGUCCUCGGAUUGUAAAGCUCUUUGAUUGGGGACGAAGAAAGUGACGGUACCCAAAGAACAAGCCCCGGCUAACCACGUGCCAGCAGCAGC
rnacentral:rRNA from 1 species